rnacentral:tRNA from 1 species
AUGCUGGUCCAGGCGGUCGGCGUGGUCCUGGUCGGCUACGGUCCGACCCUGCCGACCGUGUGCGCGGCCAUGGUGGCGAUCGGCGCGUCGGGCGGCGUG